GACAGAGGUGCCAAGCGUUAGGCGGAAUCACUGGGCUUAAAGCGUGUGUAGGCGGAUGCCUAAGUACCUUGUGAAAUCCCACGGCUCAACCGUGGAACUGCUUGGUAUACUGGUUGUCUUGAGCCUUCUAGGGGCGAGUGGAACAAAUGGUGGAGCGGUGAAAUGCGUAGAUAUCAUUUGGAACGCCAAUGGUGAAAACAACUCGCUGGGGAAGUGCUGACGCUGAGACACGAAAGCCAGGGGAGCGAACGGG
rnacentral:rRNA from 1 species